rnacentral:rRNA from 1 species
CACGUAGGGGACGAGCGUUGUCCGGAUUCAUUGGGCGUAAAGCGCGCGUAGGCGGCUCGGAAAGUCGGUCGUGAAAUGCCGGGGCUCAACCCCGGGACUGCGUCCGAUACUUCCGGGCUGGAGGUAGGUAGGGGAGAUCGGAAUUCCUGGUGUAGCGGUGAAAUGCGCAGAUAUCAGGAGGAACACCGGUGGCGAAGGCGGAUCUCUGGGCCUUACCUGACGCUGAGGCACGAAAGCUAGGGGAGCGAACAGG